rnacentral:rRNA from 1 species
GUGAACGCUGGCGGUAGGCCUAACACAUGCAAGUCGAACGGCAGCACAGUAAGAGCUUGCUCUUACGGGUGGCGAGUGGCGGACGGGUGAGGAAUACAUCGGAAUCUACUUUUUCGUGGGGGAUAACGUAGGGAAACUUACGCUAAUACCGCAUACGACCUACGGGUGAAAGCAGGGGAUCUUCGGACCUUGCGCGAUUGAAUGAGCCGAUGUCGGAUUAGCUAGUUGGCGGGGUAAAGGCCCACCAAGGCGACGAUCCGUAGCUGGUCUGAGAGGAUGAUCAGCCACACUGGAACUGAGACACGGUCCAGACUCCUACGGGAGGCAGCAGUGGGGAAUAUUGGACAAUGGGCGCAAGCCUGAUCCAGCCAUACCGCGUGGGUGAAGAAGGCCUUCGGGUUGUAAAGCCCUUUUGUUGGGAAAGAAAAGCAGCAGGUUAAUACCCCGCUGUUCUGACGGUACCCAAAGAAUAAGCACCGGCUAACUUCGGG